UUGCUUUAAUUACAAGUUUGCCACUCAAAUGAAUAAAGGUAUAAAUAUGACUUUAUAGCCAAAAUUCAUUUAGGUUUUGUUUUGGAGAAAAUUGGAGAGAACAUGUCUCUCCAUUUCUCUCUAAAGAGGCCGGCCCCUUAGAGGGUGUAUCUAGCCAUACUAACUACUCCAAGGUCACUCAUUUCUUCUCCAAUCUCUCCUUGGUGUGGAGACUUAGAGGUUCUCAAUUUUGGAACUUGGAGAAACCUUUUCUUCCAUCCAAAUCCAUAGAUUUUAGAUGCAAGGAAUGAAGGCCCUCUCUUUGGGUGAUUAGCCUUUGCUUAUGCAAAGAGGAAUCUACAAAGGUAUGAUUUCAACUCACUUUGUUUUUUAGUUGAGUUUUGGUUCACCAAUCUACUAGGCUUUGAAUUUCAUGGGUAAUGUUUUGUUUUUGAGUGCAUGCAAGCAUGAUUCCGCCUUUAAUUGUUAAUUGCAUGCUAUAUGAUGUUGCUCAAAUGAACAUGUUUUCACAAAAUAUUCCUUCAAGUGGUAUCAGAGCCUAGGUCUAGUAGUUGGUGAAUCCUUUUGGGUUUUGUGGUUCAUAGUUUGUGAUUUAAAAGUUGUAAUAUGUUACAAGCUUUAUUCUUGUUUCUUUGAAUGUAAAUUUUGUUAGAAAAUUUGUCAUCUCAAAUGUUGUAGAUGUAGUUCAUAUGAGCAUGAAUAUUGGAGCUAAAAUUUGGUGCCAUGAUUUUGGGAAAUUUCGGCCAAAUACAUAGGGUGGAUUUUUGGGUUCUUGUUUGACUUGUUAAAAGUGUUUUCAAGUAACUUUUGGAACCCCUAUGUACCCUAGUUUGGUUAUAUGUUAUUUCCCUUAAGUUUGAAUGGUUUUGGAAUGUUUUUGGGUGAAAAAAGUUCAUGGAAAUUUUUUGGGUUUUUCAUGAAUGUUCUUCAUUGUUCUUGACAUUUUUGCCAAGAACAAAAAGGUUUGUGUUUUGAUUCAAAGUUUUGGUUUAUUUCAUAAAGUUUAUGUUUUAUGAUUUUCAUAUGUUUAAAUGUUUUAGAUAUUUGUUUAAAUGGUGUAAGAAAUAUUGGUGGGUGUGUAAGGAUUGAUUUCCUUUCACACACACCACUUGCACCACUUGAUUGCUUUAUGUCAAAACUCACAAAUUAACACACACAUCACUCCUUUCCUCUCCCAAAACCGGCCACCCUACAUUAUAGGGUACUUUUGGGGCUUUUAUGCAAUUACAUAAAGUUUUGAUACUUUUGUGUAUUUGCACUUUGGCCCAAAAGUUUACGUUUUUACGUUUAGGUCCAAAAACGCUGAAGGACAAAUUGUUUUGCUCCUUUAAUGAAGUUUUUGCAUUGUUGAAAUUUUGGGUUCUAGUGUAAUUACAUGAAGUAGUGGACUUUUGUGUUCUUACAAAGUGACCCCAAAAGUUUAUGUUUUCGCAAUAUUGCCCAAAAAGUUGUGGUUAUUGCAUGAUGGCCCCAA
rnacentral:lncRNA from 1 species